AUUGAACGCUGGCGGCAGGCCUAACACAUGCAAGUCGAGCGGAUGAAGGGAGCUUGCUCCUGGAUUCAGCGGCGGACGGGUGAGUAAUGCCUAGGAAUCUGCCUGGUAGUGGGGGAUAACGUCCGGAAACGGGCGCUAAUACCGCAUACGUCCUGAGGGAGAAAGUGGGGGAUCUUCGGACCUUCCGCUCUCAGAUGAGCCUAGGUCGGAUUAGCUAGUUGGUGGGGUAAAGGCCUACCAAGGCGACGAUCCGUAACUGGUCUGAGAGGAUGAUCAGUCACACUGGAACUGAGACACGGUCCAGACUCCUACGGGAGGCAGCAGUGGGGAAUAUUGGACAAUGGGCGAAAGCCUGAUCCAGCCAUGCCGCGUGUGUGAAGAAGGUCUUCGGAUUGUAAAGCACUUUAAGUUGGGAGGAAGGGCAGUAAGUUAAUACCUUGCUGUUUUGACGUUACCAACAGAAUAAGCACCGGCUAACUUCGUG
rnacentral:rRNA from 1 species